rnacentral:pre_miRNA from 1 species
UAUAUACUCCCUCCGUCCGGAAAUACUUGUUCUAAAGAUGAAUGUAUCUAAAUUUAUUUUAGUUAUGGAUACAUCCAUUAUAUCCAUUUCUAGGACAAGUAUUUUCAGACGGAGGGAGUAGUAU